rnacentral:rRNA from 1 species
UACAGAGGGUGCAAGCGUUGUUCGGAUUCACUGGGCGUAAAGGGUGCGUAGGUGGUGAGGUAAGUCGGAUGUGAAAUCUCCGGGCUCAACCCGGAAAUGGCAUUGGAAACUACCUUGCUGGAGGAUUUGAGGGGGGAUUGGAAUACUUGGUGUAGCAGUGAAAUGCGUAGAUAUCGAGUGGAACACCAGUGGCGAAGGCGAAUCCCUGGAAAAUACCUGACACUGAGGCACGAAAGCUAGGGGAGCAAACAGG